rnacentral:lncRNA from 1 species
CUGGGAGAUUGCUGACUACUUACAGCCACCCCCUUCCCAAGCAGCCACAAGAAGAUGGACACAGAAGCGGGCAUGCAACCAGGACAUGCAUUGGUGCAGGUCAGGACUGCUGGACAUACACACAGCAAUCAGCUCGUUCCAAGGAGACCUCUAUUCCUCAGACAGGCUGAUUAUGCCUGUUGCCAAAAAUUUUGAGGCAUGAGAGGACUACUGCGCUUGAAACGUGGUGGAAUUCUUAAGAGGGCUUACAAAGCUGUUCUCUGGCUAGAAUAGAGCAGUCUGCAGCCAAAGGCCCUGCCUUCCAGGUCAUUGAGACCACAAUAAAACAAAGCCAGACUCAGAAAGCAACUUUGAAUCAUACAUUGCAGAAAGAGUAUCAAACCUCAGCAAUUUUGUCACAAGAAAAAUUUAUUGAAAGCAAUCUCCUAACCUGCAGAAGUGCUAAAGGGACCAUCUAUUUCAUCUUUUCCCAUGGAUUUCUUCUUUCAUGCAUUCUAGGAUGUACUUUAAAUUCUCAGUGA